rnacentral:rRNA from 1 species
UACGGAGGGUGCAAGCAUUAAUCGGAAUUACUGGGCGUAAAGGGCGCGUAGGCGGCAAAUUAAGUCGGGUGUGAAAUUUCGAGGCUCAACCUCGAAGCUGCAUCGGAUACUGGUUAGCUAGAGUAUAAGUAGGGAAAACGGAAUUCCACGUGUAGCGGUGAAAUGCGUAGAUAUGUGGAAGAACACCGGUGGCGUAAGCGGUUUUCUAGCUUAUUACUGACGCUGAGGCGCGAAAGCGUGGGGAGCAAACAGG